rnacentral:tRNA from 1 species
UAUGUUUUAGUAUAAGGUGUACCCGGAUUUUUGAAAUCCGAGGGGGUGGUUUAACCCUACCAAACAUAA